UAAUGGCUAGUGCUAAAAUUUUCCUCGACUCUUGAAAUCUUAUAUAAACCCCAUUGAUAUGAUGGCAUUUAAUGUGUCAAAACACAAAAACCCUAAUCUCCCACACUUGCAUAUCUUGCCCUUCUCUCCUACAUGCUUCAACAUGAAGCACUUUGACACCAUCAAGACCUUUCUCCGGACCUAUCUCCAAUAUCCAGACCUAUCUCCAAUCAUACCUCCAAUGUUAGCACCCAUCAACAUCAAGCUCCUUGUCAC
rnacentral:lncRNA from 1 species